CAGGUUUCAAGUCCAUGCGAGUAAGUUUAUGUCUUGGUGCAUCAUUUCCGCAACGCGUUUGAUCCCUUCUUGGAUGUUGUUUCCAUAUUGUGAGGUGGAGGUGUUGCACUGGUGCAUAACCGAGGAUUUACCACUGGACAUCUAUCACCGCUAAGACCACAA